rnacentral:rRNA from 1 species
UACGUAGGGUCCAAGCGUUGUCCGGAAUCAUUGGGCGUAAAGAGCGUGUAGGCGGCCCGGUAAGUCCGCUGUGAAAGUCGGGGGCUCAACCCUCGAAUGCCGGUGGAUACUGUCGGGCUAGAGUGCGGAAGAGGCGAGUGGAAUUCCUGGUGUAGCGGUGAAAUGCGCAGAUAUCAGGAAGAACACCCGUGGCGAAGGCGGCUCUCUGGGACGGUACUGACGCUGAGACGCGAAAGCGUGGGGAGCGAACAGG